CAGACCUGCGUGACUCCCUGGUGCUGUCUGAGUUCCUGCAGGACCUGCAAGAGGAGGAGGCGGCACGGAGCCGGCAGGGACCUGCAACGCCAGGGAGUGGGCACUGCGGCUCACAGGGGUCUUUUCCCCUGCUCUCGGCCCAGGCUGGGCAGCCACCAAGCAGUGAGGACAUGAGCCGCCCCCUGGGAGAGCUGCAGGAGGCCGUGGAGAUGCUGAACGAUGCAGCGAAGGAGCGGGAGCGGGUCAUGGAGGUGGCGGCGGAGACGGAGAGCCUGGAGCACCUGGUGGCAGAGGUAUCCCCGCGCCUGGAGGCCCUUCGAUGCAGAGCCGAGACGCUGGCUCAAGACAUUGCCGAAGCAGAGAGUGG